rnacentral:lncRNA from 1 species
UCAAACUCACACACACAGCCGCACUCUUUCUCUCCCUACAAAUUUCGGCGACCGGACUCCGGCCGGCGGAGCCGGCGACGAUGACGGCGGCGGUACGGCGGACGACGGAGGUGGCGAAGUUCCGGCGAGGAUUUUCACGGCGGACUUGGGUGUAACCCCCCUAAAUCGACCCUCCUGAGUUCGAUUCCGGUGUCGGUUCCGUCAUCGGAGCACCGGAAGUGACGAUUUCACCUUUGGCAGCCGCGAGUUUGAGUCUCCUUCUCUGUGGUGGUUAGUGGAGACGAAGAUGGGGCUGUGGUGGUGUUCCGACAGCGGAAGCGUCGCUCGCGGCGGCGGCGGUUCAGUCCUGAUUCAGGUUCGGGUUCCGGCCGACGUGAAUGAACUCCGGUGGACAUCAGUCCGGUUUGUUUCCAUUCAGAUAUAAUCUCGGUUCGUUGUUCGGUUCUGGUCUCACAACAUAGACGGUUCGGGUCAGAAUCUGUUUCAGGUUUUGUUUGGUUUCGUUCGAUUCCGGUCACUGACGACAGCCGGAGCCGCAUCUUCGGGAAUGGUGUUGGCGGGGAUGGUGUCGGCAGUGGUGUCGUUUCAGUCUCAACUCGGGUUAACUCAGUUCAGUUUUGAGGAGUGAUUUAGCGUUCAGGUCAAAACAGGUCAAACAGUCAACGUGGGUUUCGGGAUCUGUCCCGUUUCUGUUUCGGGUCAAACUUGGUCAACCUUCGGUCAAGCAGGGUCAACUAGUCAAACACGAGGUUGGGUAAGAUCUUAACGAUGCUAUGGUGGCUUCGGUGUUCCAUCCUCCUAAUCUCCGACAUUCGUCAACACUUGGAUAAUCGGAAGACUUAGCAAUAUAGUUGAUGAUUGAUGAUGCUAAGAAACGGAUUAGCAAAGAUGCCUAGAUACUCACUUAGACGUUUAGGUUUAAAGUAUUGUAUCAAUUUUGUUAUGUUAUGUUGAACAAUGUUGUUAUUCGAAUAUCUUGUAAUGUUUUGACAAUUUAUUUAUGAAAUGAAAUCGGUUGAUUAAAUAUUGUC